rnacentral:rRNA from 1 species
GACGGAAGGUGCAAGCGUUGCUCGGAAUCACUGGGCGUAAAGGGUGCGUAGGCGGCUUGGUAAGUUGGGUGUGAAAGCCCCGGGCUCAGCCCGGGAAGGGCACUCGAAACUGCCGAGCUGGAGUGCCGGAGGGGAGAGUGGAAUUCCUGGUGUAGCGGUGAAAUGCGUAGAUAUCAGGAAGAACACCAAUGGCGAAGGCAGCUCUCUGGGACGGUACUGGACACUGAGACGCGAAAGCGUGGGGAGCGAACAGG